AUACGUAGGGUGCGAGCGUUAAUCGGAAUUACUGGGCGUAAAGUGUGCGCAGGCGGUUCUAUAAGACAGAUGUGAAAUCCCCGGGCUUAACCUGGGAACUGCGUUUGUGACUGUAGGACUCGAGUGGGGGAGAGGGGGGUGGAAUUUCCCGUGUAGCAGUGAAAUGCGUAGAGAUGUGGAGGAACACCGAUGGCGAAGGCAGCCCCCUGGGUCAACACUGACGCUCAUGCACGAAAGCGUGGGUAGCAAACAGGAUUAGAUACCCUGGUAGUCCACGCCCUAAACGAUGCGAACUAGGUGUUGGGGAAGGAGACUUUCUUAGUACCGCAGCUAACGCGUGAAGUUCGCCGCCUGGGGAGUACGGUCGCAAGAUUAAAACUCAAAUGAAUUGACGGGG
rnacentral:rRNA from 1 species